rnacentral:lncRNA from 1 species
AGAGAGGGAGCAAUAAAGGAUGUCUAAGGUCAUCAGCAACGUAAAGCCAACAGCAUCAUCCUGAGUCAUAUUUGAACCUCAGGGAAAGAAACAUAUGUUCGAAGAGGUUCUGGGGCUGCUGCACCCGAUAUCAUACCUGGUUGGCCCUGGGAAAGGGCCCACCUCCAAUACAUAAACACAACCAGCUUUGACAGUGAGCCCUGAAGCAUGGCAUUGAGAAGCUGCCUAAGAAGGAGGCAGGUCCAUCAGCCUGGGUGCCCGACUGAUUACCCUGAGCAGAGCUCCCCAGCCCACCUGUGAUGGACGCAUGGAGCUUGAGCAAGGAAUAAAUAUUCGUUGCUGGACUCUGAUUACACUGCCUAUCCAAGAUCUGAGAUCAUCAACUCAUCUCAAAAUCCUUAAGCUGACCACAGCAGCAUCAUCCCUUUUGCAGUGUAAGCUAGAGUGGCUUUGAGUUGCGGUUUCACCCUCCCUGCAGAUCCACAGGGGAGUCUGGGGCGGAUGGAAAAUACCAACUUGAGGGUCUGUGGCCACACCGUGCUGCUCCCCAAGGCCCCUCAGAAUUUCACUGCCCAAUAUGGUAGCGCCCAGCCUGAAACGUGGCCAGUGUGAAUUGAGAUGGGCUGGAAAUGCAUCAGACUUCCAAGAGCUGGACAAAAACCAUAUACGUAAAAUAUCUUUGUUUUACAUAUUUCUACUGAUGACACAAUGAAAUCAUAUUUAGGGUAUUUUCUGUUACAUAAAAUACAUUACUAAAAUUAA